CAAGAACUACGGCAUCUGGGUUCGCUACCAGUCGCGCACGGGCGUGCACAACAUGUACAAGGAGUACCGCGACGUGACCCUGAACGGCUCCGUCUCCCAGAUGUACCAGGAGAUGGCCUCGCGCCACCGCGUGCGCCCCUCGUCCAUCCAGAUCAUCAAGACCGCCACCGUGGACUACCACAGCUGCAAGCGUGCCAACACCAAGCAGUUCCACAACGAGAAGAUCAGCUUCCCGGUCACCCAGAAGCUGGCUCGCCCCUCGUCGGCCACCUUCCGCACCCUGUUCAAGGCCAACCGCCCCAACGUUGCUAUGUUCUAAGCGGCCCUCUCGGUCCGGGCUUAGGCGUGUGCCAA
rnacentral:lncRNA from 1 species